UGGGGAAUUUUGGACAAUGGGCGAAAGCCUGAUCCAGCAAUGCCGCGUGUGUGAAGAAGGCCUUCGGGUUGUAAAGCACUUUUGUCCGGAAAGAAAUCCUUGGCUCUAAUACAGUCGGGGGAUGACGGUACCGGAAGAAUAAGCACCGGCUAACUACGUGCCAGCAGCCGCGGUAAUACGUAGGGUGCAAGCGUUAAUCGGAAUUACUGGGCGUAAAGCGUGCGCAGGCGGUUUGCUAAGACCGAUGUGAAAUCCCCGGGCUCAACCUGGGAACUGCAUUGGUGACUGGCAGGCUAGAGUAUGGCAGAGGGGGGUAGAAUUCCACGUGUAGCAGUGAAAUGCGUAGAGAUGUGGAGGAAUACCGAUGGCGAAGGCAGCCCCCUGGGCCAAUACUGACGCUCAUGCACGAAAGCGUGGGGAGCAAACAGGAUUAGAUACCCCUGGUAGUCCACGCCCUAAACGAUGUCAACUAGUUGUUGGGGAUUCAUUUCCUUAGUAACGUAGCUAACGCGUGAAGUUGACCGCCUGGGGAGUACGGUCGCAAGAUUAAAACUCAAAGGAAUUGACGGGGUCAUAGCUGUUUCC
rnacentral:rRNA from 1 species